rnacentral:rRNA from 1 species
UUAAGAACGUUGUAAAACAGUUCGGUUAAUAUCUACCACUAAUAACUGAAAAUAAAAACCUUAUAUCUAGUACGAAAGGAUCGAUAUGACAUUAUCUCUGAUGACUUUUUAAUUAAUAAUAUUAAUUUAGGUUUUAUUUAUUAUCUAAAAAUAGUUAAAUAAUGAAAUUUAAAAGAAAUACUUAUAGCAUAUCAAGUAUGAAAUAGUUUUUUUAAUUCAGUAUAAAAACUUACUAGAUGAGUAAGUUAUAUUUUAAAUAUAUAAUAUAUAUAUAAAUAAAAAUUUUUUUAUAUUUUAUUAUCCCUUAUUUUUAUUAUUUUAUUUAAUAAAAUAAUAAAAAUAUGAAAUGAAUAAUAAAAUAAAUUGAAGAUAUCAUUGAGGAUAUUAAAAUUAAAUAUUGAAAUAAAGGUAUAAAAAUAAUUUAAAUUAUAAAACCUAAAUAGAAAACUAUAUUAGAUUUAAAACAUAAUGAAAUGAAACAUCAAAGUAAUUAUAGGAAAAUAAAUUAAAAAAGAAUUUAAUAAGUAGUGGUGAGCGAAAAUUAAAAAGUUUAUAAAUAAUAUGUAUAAAAAUAUAUUAAUAAAGUGAAAACUAUCACUAAAACUAAAAACAAUAUUUAAAUAAUGAGUACUGUGAAGGAAAAAUUGAAUCAGUGAAUAUUAAUAGCACUAUGAAAUAGAAAUAUAAAAUAGGUACCUUUUGUAUAAUGGGUGAACAAGUUUAAAAAGAUAGCAAGAAAAAAAAUCGAAAUGAAAAUGAAAUAAGUUAAUUUUUUUAAGACCCGAAAGCUCGUGAUCUUACCUUUAUUAAGUAUAAAAUGACUGAACUGGUUAAUGUUGCAAUAUUAUCAGAUAAAUGAAGGUAUGCGGAGAAAGUUAAAUCGAACGAGUCAAGCUGGUUUGCAAUGAAACAUAUUAUCGUAUGAUAAAAAAUGAAAAUAUUAAAAAGUAUAGCACUUCAUUUAAUUAAAUAAAGAGAAUGUAAUCUAAGAAUUUUUAAUUAAAGAAAUAUUUUUUGUUCAGACUAUUGGCGAUAAGGUUAAUAGUCGAGAGGAAAACAAUCCAGAAUAAAAUUAAAGUUACAAAUAUAAAAAUAAAAAGAAAUAAGAAAAUUAAUUAAUUAAACAAUUAGUUAAUAGGUUUGAUAGUAACUAUUUUUUAAUAAAAGUGUAAUAACUUACUAAUUAAAUAAAAAAUUAAAUAUUUUUCGAUAAUAUAUCGUACUUAAAUUUUUAAACUGAUAUUUUAUAAUAAAAAAUUGGUAAUUGCAUAAUCAAUAAAAAAGAUUUAUUAAAAGAAAUAAAUUAAUAAAUGAAAAAUGAAUUGAUAAAAGAAUGUUUACAUGAGUAACGAAAAUAAAGAAUUAAACUUUAUCAUCAACACAUAAGGUAUAAAAAAAUACAAUAUUUAAAUAAAAAACGAAAGUAAUUUUAUGAAAAGAAGAAUAUAUUUAUUAAAAAAUAAUUAAAUUAAAGAAAUAAAAUUAAAAAAUUUAAUUACAAGAAAAAAAAUAAAUAAAAAAUUGUAAUGAAUACCGACACAGGUGUGUAAAUUUUAAUAAAAUGAAGAUGAAUGAGAAAAUUAUAUAUAAUGAACUCGGCAAAAACACUCAUUAAAUUGAAUAUGAGUAAAAAGUAAAAUAGCACGACUGUCUACUAACAACACAGCACAUUGCAAAAAUGAAAAUUAUAGUAUAAUGUGUGAAACUGCUCAAUGUUAAAUAAUAAAUAAUAUAUUAUAUAAGAUAUAUUUAUUAAAAUUUAAUAAAUAGCAGUCUUAUUUUGAGGACUACAAAGUAGCGAAAUUCCUUGUCAAAUAAUUGUUGACCUGCAUGAAUGAUUUAACGAUGUUAUAACUGUAUCAUAUAUAAACUCAGUGAAAUUGUAAUUGUAGUGAAGAUACUAUAUAUUAGUGGUAAGACAUGAAGACCCUAGCACCUUUACUAUAUAUUAAAAAUUGUUAAAUUCUAAUUUUAUUAGAAUUAUUGUAAUUUAAAAAUAAUAUUAUUUUUAAUUUUUAUUUUAAAAUUACUUUUUAGCUUACUUAUUUAAAAUAAGGACAGUUAUAAUAUGAUAGUUUUACUGGGAAGGUAAUAUUAUAAAAAAUAACUAAUAUGUCUAUAUUAGAAAAAUAUAAAAAAAAUAAUUUAUUAAAAAAAAAAAAUAUAUUAAAUUUAAUUUAAUUAAAUAUAAAAAAAAUAAGAUAUCAUUAACUUAGUUUUAAUAUAAUAUAUUAAGAAAAAUCACUAAGAUAUAUAAAAAAAGUAUAUAAAUAAUUAUAAUAAUAUAAUGAUAUUUAAAUAAAAAGACUGACAAGUCUAAAUAGUAUUUACGUAUAGUAUAAUGAACAAUUGUAGAUUAAGUGAGUCGCAAUGAUAACGGAUAAGGUACGCUAGGGAUAACAGCCUAAUAUUGUGUGAGAGUUCAUAUCGUAAACAAUGAUUGGGACCUCGAUGUCGGCUCAACCUAUCCUACAGGAUGUAAAAAUUUGAAAGGGUUUGACUGUUCGUCAAUUAAAAGGUUACGUGAGCUGGGU